GACAGCAGCCGCCACGGUAAUACGGAGGGUGCAAGCGUUAAUCGGAAUUACUGGGCGUAAAGCGCACGCAGGCGGUCUGACAAGUCAGAUGUGAAAUCCCCGGGCUUAACCUGGGAACUGCAUUUGAAACUGUCAGGCUGGAGUCUUGUAGAGGGGGGUGGAAUUCCAGGUGUAGCGGUGAAAUGCGUAGAGAUCUGGAGGAAUACCGGUGGCGAAGGCGGCCCCCUGGACAAAGACUGACGCUCAGGUGCGAAAGCGUGGGGAGCAAACAGGAUUAGAUACCCCUGUAGUCCCUGUCUCUUAUAC
rnacentral:rRNA from 1 species